CUGGGUGAUAUGUAAGUCAUCUAUAUGUUACAAGGAUCAUUCAGCGCGGUUUCUUCCUCUUUUAGGGGUCAUGGCAGAUUACAUGGCUAAUGAAAUACCACGUGUGUCAACCGAAACAAUGGUAGUGGAUGGUGCAGGUGUUUUUACUGCUAAACGAUCACAAAUAGGAAAGUGAGAGUAUGAUGGGACCAUUCUCAAGGACAACAACCUGGCACUGUGGCUCACCCGUGAGAACCUUCGCU